GAUGAAGAACGCAGCAAAAUGCGAUAAGUAAUGUGAAUUGCAGAAUUCAGUGAAUCAUCGAAUCUUUGAACGCACAUUGCGCCCGCCAGUAUUCUGGCGGGCAUGCCUGUUCGAGCGUCAUUUCAACCAUCAAGCCCCCGGCUUGUGUUGGGGACCUGCGGCUGCCGCAGGCCCUGAAAACCAGUGGCGGGCUCGCUGUCACACCGAGCGUAGUAGAUUUUCAUCUCGCUCAGGGCGUGCUGCGGGUUCCGGCCGUAAAAAGCCUUAUUUACCCAAGGUUGACCUCGGAUCAGGUAGGAAGACCCGCUGAACUUAAGCAUAUCAAUAAGCGGAGGA
rnacentral:misc_RNA from 1 species